GACGAACGCUGGCGGCGUGCCUAAUACAUGCAAGUCGAACGCAGUGGGGACAGGUGAGUAACACGUGGGUAACCUCCCAUCAGAGGGGAUAACAGUUGGAAACAGGUGCUAAACAGAUACUGAUGGAUGGACCCGGGGGGCAUUAGCUAGUUGGUGGGGUAACGGCUCACCAAGGCGAAGAUGCAGAGCCUGCCUGAGAGGAUGACCGUCCACACUGGGACUGAGACACGGCCCAGACUCCUACGGGAGGCAGCAGUGGGGAAUCUUCGGCAAUGGGCGAAAGCCUGACAGAGCCACGCCGCGUGAAUGAAGAAGGUCUUCGGAUCGUAAAGUACUGUUGGUAGAGAGGCGGUAUCUAACCAGAAAGCAACGGCUAACUCCGUGCCAGCAGCCGCGGUAAUAC
rnacentral:rRNA from 1 species